ensembl:lncRNA
AAUUUUAAAAUCCACAGCCUCUCUGCUCUUUUUCUCUGGGCUGUGGACCAGCCUGGAUUCCCCUCAAGGCCGCAUGUUUGAAGGUGGGAAGUGUUGUGUGUCUGAAAAUGAAUGACGAGGUGUGUGUGGAGUUUAUUGUUGCGUAUGUUGCGGAGGUGUUGUCUGAGGCGUAUGCGGAGUGUAUGUUUGGUUUCUCCAAUGUAGAUCAGGUGACGGAGGGUACAGGUGAUGGCAUAAACUAAGUUGGGGGUGUCUAGAUUAAGGGGGCUGUUGGGGGCUGAAAGGUGACUAUGAAUGUUUGUGAUAAAGUGAUGGGGUCUGAAAUAAAUAUUUUCUUUGGGAGUGGGGGGCUUGAGAUGACGGGUGAAGGUGUGGUGAUGAGGGGUAGGAUGUAUGUUUCUGUAGGGGGGUUAAGGUUAGGGUUAGGAAUGAGGUCUGAUAUAGGGUGUGAUGGCACGGCUGGGCUAGGGUAAAGAUCUGGGAUGGGGUUAGAGACAGGGUUAGGGUUAGGAAUGGGGUUAGGGUCAGGAGGGGAACUUGGUUGGGUUGUGUAGGUGUGUGUCUGGUCCUGGUUGGGGUUUGGAUGGUGAUGGUUGAAGGAGGUAGUGGGGUGUGGGUUGGGAGGUGUGGAAGGCUGGAUGAUUUGAGAAGUGUCUGAAUGGGCCUGUGUGUGGUUGGGAUGUCGUGUGUGAGGGGUGUUUGAGUGAGUAGGAGCAAGACUGGUCAGUGUUUCAUUUUUUAUGGAACGGAGGAAGCGUUUUGAAUAGUGGCGUGUAUGGAGGGCAUGAAAUAGAAUUUUGAUGGCAUGGUGGAGGUCUGAGGGGAAGGAGCA